rnacentral:rRNA from 1 species
UACGAAGGGGGCUAGCGUUGUUCGGAAUCACUGGGCGUAAAGCGUGCGCAGGCGGUCUGUUAAGACAGAUGUGAAAUCCCCGGGCUUAACCUGGGAACUGCAUUUGUGACUGGCAGGCUAGAGUAUGGCAGAGGGGGGUAGAAUUCCACGUGUAGCAGUGAGAUGCGUAGAGAUGUGGAGGAAUACCGAUGGCGAAGGCAGGCCCCCUGGGCCAAUACUGACGCUCAUGCACGAAAGCCGUGGGGAGCAAACAGG